CUACGGGUGGCAGCAGUCGAGAAUCUUCGGCAAUGGACGAAAGUCUGACCGAGCGACGCCGCGUGCGGGAUGAAGGCCUUCGGGUUGUAAACCGCUGUCAGAGGGAAGGAAAUUUUGACCGAUCCUCAAAGGAAGUACGGGCUAAGUUCGUGCCAGCAGCCGCGGUAAGACGAACCGUACAAACGUUAUUCGGAAUCACUGGGCUUAAAGGGUGCGUAGGUGGUCUAUUAAGUUGGGUGUGAAAUCCCUCGGCUCAACCGAGGAACUGCGCUCAAUACUGGUAGACUUGAGGGAGAUAGAGGUGAGCGGAACUGAUGGUGGAGCGGUGAAAUGCGUUGAUAUCAUCGGGAACACCUGUGGCGAAAGCGGCUCACUGGAUCUCUUCUGACACUGAGGCACGAAAGCUAGGGGAGCGAACGGGAUUAGAUACCCUCGUAGUC
rnacentral:rRNA from 1 species